CUGAUCCCGUACGAUCACCGAAGUUAAGCAGCAUUGAACCUAUUCAGUACCUAGAAGAGUGGCCGCUUAGGAGUACUAGGUGAUGUAA